rnacentral:rRNA from 1 species
AUUGAACGCUGGCGGCAGGCCUAACACAUGCAAGUCGAACGAGUGGCGGACGGGUGAGUAAUGUCUGGGAAACUGCCUGAUGGAGGGGGAUAACUACUGGAAACGGUAGCUAAUACCGCAUACUAUCAGAUGUGCCCAGAUGGGUUUAUCUUGUGGGUGGGGUAACGCGUAACCAAGGCGACGAUCCCUAGCUGGUCUGAGAGGGGGACCGGCAACACUGGGACUGAGACACGGUCCAGACUCCUACGGGAGGCAGCAGUGGGGAAUAUUGGGCAAUGGGCGCAAGCCUGGUGCAGCCAUGCCGCGUGUAUGAAGAAGGCCUUCGGGUUGUAAAGUACUUUCAGCGGUGAGGCGUUACCCGCAGAAGAAGCACCGGCUAACUCCGUGCCAGCAGCCGCGGUAAUAC